rnacentral:RNase_P_RNA from 1 species
CAAGUAGGACAAAUGAUCGCGGCUGCAGGUAAUGCAGGUGAGGAAAGUCCGGGCUUCACAGGGCAGGAUGCCGGAUAACGUCCGGUGGAGGCGACUCCAAGGAUAGUGCAACAGAAAUAAACUGCCGCGCAGGGGAUGCGCAUUUGCGGAUUUCCCCCAAUCCGGUUUUGCCGGAUGGAUCCGCGGUGAGGGUGGAAAGGCAGUGUAAGAGACUACCGCCUGCACGGUAACGGGCAGGGCACAUGUAAACCCCAUCCGAAGCAAGGCCAAACAGAAAGCGUUAACAGCCGGCCCGGCGAGUUUUCAGGUAGGCCGCUUGAGGCUGCUGGCGACAGCAGUCCUAGAUAGAUGAUCAUUCAACGACAUAACCCGGCUUAUCGUCCUGCUUGUAUU